UAGCCAUAUUUUUUUACCUUCGUUUUAAAAAGGUUGGCGACUCCUGUCAAGGCGGGUGGUGGGUGUACUAACACGCGAGGUUUGCAACGGGGUUCAGUUUAAACCACCGUGCGGCGCCAAGCGUGCCUAACCCUUAAAAUAAAAAAAAACCUCGCGUGAGAAUAUGAGCAUUUUCAAAAGUGCGUGACUUCAUGUGUUUUUAAAUUUUGAUGUCGGUCAUAACAUAACAUUAAACAACGUUCAUGUAAUAAUGAGUGAUAAUGAUUUCAUUGACAUUACAGUUUUAAUAUACUGAUAUCAAGAAUUUUUAGUGUUGAAGAGGAUUGUUCAGUUUUUAUGAUGAUAUUGUUCUGAUACCCUGUAUGAGGACACCAUUGGAAUGUCCUCCACUACGCAACCGACCCUCGAGCCUCAAAAUGAGACCAGUUUCUUGGCCAACCACAAUAUUUUUUUUGAUAUGGCUGUGCAAUGACGUUGUGUCAAAAAGAAACCACACGCUCAAGCCCCGGGUCGUGCUUCCGGAGAACUAUGUCAAAGAAGUGCGACCUCCUGCUCGAAAAGGCCAUCCUGUGAUAGUAGAAUUCAGCAUAUAUGUAGUGGACGUCAACUCUAUCAACGUCGAAGACAUGGAUUUUAGAGUGGACAUGUUCAUAAGACAGACAUGGAUGGAGAGCCGACUGCAACUGCCAGAAGAUAUUUUCGAAGAGGGCGACGAUCACGUGACCCUCCCGCCGGAGUUCUUCGACAACCUUUGGCAUCCUGACCCGUAUUUCCUCAAUUCCAAAGUCACAGGAGGAGCUAUAUACUACCGUCAUCAGUCGGCUGAAAUAGCGGAGUUAACGCACAAGUUCUCGUCUGUCACUCUAUAUCGGAAUCAAACAGUGCGCUACGCGGCACGGAUGCAUGCCAUCAUCGCCUGCCAAAUGGAAUUUCAACUCUACCCCAUGGACAUACAGUCCUGUCCGAUUUACAUCGAAAGCUUUUCGUACAGUAAUCAAAAGGUGAGAUUCCGGUGGAGCGAGGCUGGAGUCACCAUAAACCCAGAGUUGAAGCUGCUGCAGUACCAUAUCGGAGAGCCUCUGAGGCUUGAGGAGACGAAUGGAUACAUGAUUGAUAAGGACGGCAACUACUCAAGACUAGUAGUAUACUUCAGAUUCGAGCGACAGAUCGGUCACCAUCUGAUCCAGACGUUUGCUCCAUCAUCCCUAGUGGUCAUGCUGUCGUGGUUCAGUUUCUGGCUGGACUUGGACGCCAUUCCUGGCCGAGUGACCUUGCUAGUUACAUGCAUGUUGACUCUGGUUACCAUGUUUACUGGCCUCCGAGCUGAUAUACCGCCUGUGGCUUAUGUGAAGGCCCUGGACUUAUGGAUGGCCGGUUGCAUGAUGUUCGUAUUUGCCGCGCUGGGAGAGUUCGUCGUGGUCAAGGUGUUGGACAAACAGUAUCAGAUGAACAAAAAUAAAGCGCAAGAAUCGAUGCCUAGAAUCAUACCCGUGCGUCUGAACGGCGACAAGGGCUCGUGUGGCACUGUGGCAGCCUGGGAGGGCAGCGGCGUCAGGUGCCGCAAGGUGGACGUCAUGUCGCCUACUUCCCCAGCGGCGGGGACACCGGCGGUGCACCCCGCGCCCGCUGCGACCCCCCACCUCAUAGGGGUUGAGCGCCGUCAGAGCAUUCUUCAAGUAGCUUGGCUGGACGCGGACACGGGCCAGGAGCGUGUACUGUGGCGGGAGAUCGACAAGCUCUCGCGGGUUGUGUUCCCCGCUCUGUUCCUUCUCUUCGUAACGAUGUACUGGCCGGUCCUUCUACUGAAGACCAAGACGUCUUCAUAACACAUAUUUUGAGCAUCGCAUUAAGUCGCCUUAAAUUCGACGACCUUAAAUUCCGACAUAUCAGCUGAGGUGCAGCUGUGGUCACGGAAAGAACGUCCCAGCAAAUUUCAACGAAGAUAUAAACAGAGAUAUAUAUAACUUCGUAUAAGAUAAAUAAAGUCUAAGAAAAAAACGUGCCUCGGAUGUGGAGAAAAAGUCAUUCUCGAAUAGAUGGCGCCAUUAUAAUUUAUACCUUUGGCCUAUUGUCGGCUAGAUGGCGUUGACGACACCGUUUGAUAUUCAACAAUUUUAACACAUAUCAGUGAAAGAACAUGGGUCAGUAUGGAACAAUAAAAAAUAUAAAUAAUUUAUCCGUAAACAUAUUUUGAUUAAUUUAUACAUUUUCAAUUUUAUUUUAAGUUUUAAUCGUGUGUCGAUAGAUGGCAGUAAAUGUACCGUGACUACAAAAUUGACAAUGACAGGACCCCUCUAUACUAUCUAUUCUUUUUGAUAUAAAUAAAACAACACUGGACUACCCGAAAUUAGUUUAUAGAAAUGUUCGGGGUAGACAAAGAAAAUGCAAUUGCGGUAGACCCGUAUGUGUUAUUGAAUACGUGUCCGAAACGGGAGAGUUUAGUGUUAUUUUUUCCAUGUUAAUGACAUGGAAAUCUUGAGGACGGAGAGGAAUAGAGGACUUUCGCUCCACAAGAUCGUUAGUACCUACGCUGAAAAAUUCUGCUCAUCGUAGGUGUUGUUGCCUGGAGUAACAGCUCCUUUUUUGAACUUUGUAGCACCGACAGCUCUGCUUUUGUCAAACAACAGUUGGCAUUAGUGCGUAUAAGGUCAUAACAAUCGUUGGCUAUCGCUUUGUAACUCCGUAACGGUCAGAUUGUUCAAUUAUUUGUGUCGUUUUAUUGUUUUAUCGGCCACUACAGAGUGUGUCUCAAAAAGAUAUCUUAUCACGAGAUAUACAUACAGUCUGUAUCCUAACUCCUUCUCCAAUAUUACUGCAAAAUUUCAUGAAUAAAGAAUAUUCAAGAUAUGAAAACAGAAACUUGAAUUACACGGCGUACUAUUAGGUUGUUGUUGAUUGUAAAUAAGAGUUAACCGGCAGAAAACUCAUUAGAAAUGAUAUUUUGUGAGCAACAUGUAGGUAGAUAUAAAAAUACGAGUAAAUAAAACAAGUCGCUUUUAGACCAAGUGCGCGUGAUAUACAGCCGUAGGCUAUUUAUUGUUUAGGUAUUGAUGUCGGCGCGGCGGCCGAUCGUAAGUUCAGGAAGAUCGUAAUGUUCUUAAGUAAUGUUUUGACUGUGGUCACAUUAAACCAAUAGAUAGGUAGGAUAAGUUCGUUAGGUUGCUUCAGAUGCCAAAUUGUUUAGAAAUGGGAGCCCCGCAAAGCGGGGCUCCGUCGACCCAGGGAAUGAGACAAAGAUUUUCACAUUUCACGAUAUGCCUAGAAAUUUCACGAUCUGUCUGAUCUUACGAUCGGCCGCUGACAUUGGUAGGUAAUGGAGAUUGCCGGGAUUUGAGACUUUAUUUAAUCCAUUUGGAUUUGUUGCCGCAUUUGAUCAUCAGUGUUCAACGUCAUGUAAGACUUUAUUAAACUAAAAACUGAAAAACAACGUAAACUGCAAAUAAACGAUAUCUUAUCUUAUCUUAAAAAUAAUAAUUCAAAAGUGCCUUCAAAAUUGUGCUUAUGUCACUGGCUAUUCCUCCCUUACUGGGCACUAAAAUAAAAGGGAACAAAAUUUAUUUGAAUAAUACUAACCUAUGAGUCAUUUUAUCAAUACAAAUCUGUGGCCCUAGUGAAAAAGGGUACAAGUCUCGAACAGAUUAGGUGUAAAAGGGCAUAAGUGUUACGUGGAACUUACACCCUUUUGCUCCUGCGCUACCUGAGACUUGUACCCUUAUUCACUAGGGCCACAGAAUUAUGUAUAAUAUCAAUCGAAUUCCUCCCGGUAAUCUACUUUUAAAUCUUAGUUAUAAUGUUAAACUAAAAAAACUGUACAAAUUAUAAUAAGGCGCACAUUUUUAAAAUGUAAAUAUUCUUAAGCUACAUGCGAUUCGAGCACAGAUUUAAUAUUUUAACUGAAAGUUAUAUAAUAUUAUUAAAAAUAAUUAUGAACACCAAGUAUGACUAUUUAAUGAAAUUCCUUGGAAUAAAUUCUUGUCUGAUUUACUUAAUAUUAUAAAGAAUUAAACCUACCGUAAAAUACGAUAACAUUGCCCUUUCAACAUAACUUUGCCCACUGCGUCACAGUUCAAAGCGAAAUAACUUAAAACUACUACUAAAGACAUUUCGCUCGUACUGAACUGUGACGCGGUGGGCAAAGUUAUCUUGAAAGGGCAAUGUUAUGGUAUUUGACGGAAUGUAUUAUUUUAUGUCCACGUGAAAGAUAUUACCUGUGUUUACAUUUUCACCUUAUUGCAAAGCAGUAAGGUGCAAAACUGGAAUCGUAAUCUUUUUGACCUACUUAUAUAUAAAUAUAUUUAUAGUUUAUUCUGUGUCAACUGCAUAUUAUAAAGGCAUACAUAUAUGUAUAUAUUUUUACAUCUCGUUUUUAUUAAUAUCUAUAUACAGGGUGGAACAUUUCUAGAGACUGAGCUAGAAGGAUAAUGUUAUUCAAGUGAUCUACAAUCCAGUUAUUAUUAUCGUAAAGCUGGAUAUAAAAGUAAAACAAAAUCAUUAUAAAGUAAUGUUUUUAUAUCAGUGACAACACUACAAAGUUAUUUACAUUUUAAAUUGACACCUGUCGUGUUAUUCAGUAGGAUCUACCUGCUACAAUGAAACAUACAGGUUUCGCUACUAAUGUUUAACUGUAUCUCUAAAACGGUUAGAAAUAUUAACGUGAUUCAUCAUCAUCAUCAUCAUCAUUUCAGCCUAUAUACGUCCCACUGCUGAGCACAGGCCGCCUCUCAUGCGCGAGAGGGCUUGGGCUAUAGUCCCCACGCUAGCCCAAUGCGGAUUGGGAACUUCACAUACACCGUGACCAUACACGUGAUUAGUAAGUGAAAAAUAAAGUACGUAGCCUAAACAACAAUUCCCAGUUUGCGUAAAAGUCCUUCGUUCUGUUCCACCUGAUAUAUGUAUACCUGUAUUAAUAAAUAGAUAACGUUAAAAAUUAAACAGACUAUUGUUUUAAGAGUUGUACAGUAAAAUGCAAUAAUAUGUUACUUCGAAUGCCGCAAACAUAUCGCUCCUUGAAAAACAUAGUAUCACUUAACUAUACAAAAGAAUAAAAACCAUUCGAAUAGUGACGUUGUUCCAUUAUUAAAACGAUGAAUUUUUAGGCACAAAUCAUUUUGUAUAGUGACAGUAUCGUAUUUGUUUGAAGAAACGUCACAUUUGACACUGACAUAUCUAAUCCAUAUCGUUUCUAGAUCUAUUAGUUGACGUAUCUUAAAGUUAGAAUCAGGCCGUAUGUUUCUCAAGUAAAUGCGACACGCUCAAAUGGCUCUACAAAUAAGGUCGUGUAAGAUAUUGUUGCGGUCUUCGAUGUGUAACAAUUUAUUGCAGGUAACUGUACAUAAGCACAGCUUUAAGCUUUAAGAAUUGUGAUAGUUAUUUAAGGACAAUAUUAUAUAUUGUACAUUAUUUUGUACUAUUAAAAUAUGUAUUUAUUAAAUAGGCAUUUAAAUUUAAAAUCACUGAAAAAAGAGCUCCCCUGUAACUCAAUGGAGGGCGUGCGCAUAUUAAUUACAUUAAAAUAUAUUAAGACGAAACAGGAGCUGAGUUUUAAAUAUUUUAGGUAAAUAUACCCGUCUCGCCAACGGAAGCGGCUCCUAAAACUAGUGCGAUAAGGACAAGGCGAAAAAUCCCGCGUAUUAAUCUCAAAAAUCGAGGUUUCGUACUCGACUGUUUCCUCCUCCAAAACUUAACCAAUCCUAACCAAACUUGAAAAUCUAAAUGACUAUGAAAUUACGUGUGUCGGACCGUUUUGCUUUUUUGGCUAAUUGAUAUCAGUUUUGAAUACUACGCCUCUCAUUGCGGCAUAGUCAAUUAGACCAUUUUCGCCAUUUUUGAAGGGCUCUAGCGCCUUAAAAAACAAAAAUAUCAAAAAAAGCAAAACGGUCCGACACAGAUAUUGAUAAUAAUAAUCUGUGUUCAAAAGAUCAUUGCUUUAGCAUCAAAACCCACGGAGGAAACAGUCGAGUACGUUUGUAUGGAGAAAUGACCACUCCUGUUGGCUCUUAAUAAUGUUUUUAGAUCGGAAAACGUGAAGUCUAAGUUGACAACGUGUAGCGAAACAUGUCGAACAAUUAUCGACUUAAAAAACGUGAUGGACUCGUUUAUGAUUAUAUUCUAUGAGCCACUCGACACUAGCGUCUUGCGAACGUCGGCAUCUAUAGUAGACCCAAACCAAACGGACGACCGGGGUCAUAUCUCUAUCUCUCUCACCCUACCUUGGACCACGCGAGCGUGAAUGAGAAGUUUUACGAUCCCAGUCGUCAGUUUGGUUUGCAUCUACUAUAGUCAACAGUAUGGCUGCUGCUUGACGGAACGUUGGCGCAACCAGUACGGUUACCAUCAGUUUGUCACUGACAUAAACGCCGUCGAGAACGUAAUUUACUUUCUAUACAUCUCGCUCGCACUCGCAUAUUAGUGCAAAUGGGAUGUUUAGAAAGUAAAUUACGUUCUCGACGGCGUUUAUGUCAGUGACAAACUGAUGGUAACCGUACAGGCGUGGCUCACUCCGCGAUUUCGUCGCUUUGCUACAGGUAGCUAAAAGUAUUAUAUUUAUAUUUCAAGUCCGUUCGGCCCCAAUUUUGGGGUUUGCCAUAAGCCGCUCGUGGCGCUGUCGCCACCUAGCGGCCAUAUCUGUGCUGAUCGUAACAGACGCGUUUUGUUAGAGAGUAGGUCUUCUGUACCUAGUACUAUUAUUUAUUCUGUGGCGCAACUAAGAAGCGACGCCAUUUCCCAUACCGUUGACUAGACGGAGUAGACGGCGACGCUCAAAAGGCGCUAGUGUGCCGUGGCCCUGAAUGUACGGGUCUCUAGAAAUUUUGCUAUUAAAAUUAAAUUUCGUGCGCAAACUGUAUAAUGUAAGCAAGUUUCUUACAUAUUAAUGUUAGACUAGCCUCUCGACUCCAUGUCGUUAAAACUACACUUUAUGUUCAUCCCCUUAGGGGAAGAACAUUCAAAGAUACUUUCUUAGUGGAGUGCUUUGAAUUAUAAUAUUUAUUUUAACUACAAGGUACUAGGUACCUUCAAUGGUUUAUGCGGUUAUCACACUGAUGCCAAUUUGAACGUAACUCCGGUGUAUGAAAGUGACAGCGCUCUGUAUAUAGCGAUGUCCCUCUCGCACACCGGAGUAACGUGUGAAUGCGUAUCCAGUGUGAAGAUUCGAGCCACCUUAAGCUGUGCGUUAACAGUCCGUAUAACGCGACUGUUUUGUAUAAGAUAUAUUAUUAAGAUUAAUAAUUCUGCUCCUAACAUUGGCGACAUACUAAGUCCUAAAAGAUAUAAAAGUGGGUUUAUAUAUGAAUUUGCUUUAACUUACAGCCGUAUUCGAACAAUGAGAUACGUCAAAUACUAGAUAUUGAAACGAUAUGGAUUAGAUAUGUCAGUGUCAAACCAAUGUCAAAAGUGACGUAUUUGUUUGAAGAAACGUCAAUUUUGACACUUGUUUGACACUGACAUGUCUAAUCCAUAUCUUUUCUAGAUCUAUUAACUUACGUAUCUUAAAGUUGGAAUCGCGCCGUUAAGGGGCCCACUGAUUACCUAUCCGCCGGACAGUAUCGACCUGUCAGUUGUUCGGAACUAUCAAAAUUUUGUUCUAACUGACAGGCCGAUACCGCCCGGCGGACUGUUAAUCAGUGGGCCCCUUUAGUAUUUUAUGUAUAAUAGUAAACAGAUCGUUAUUGUUAAUAACUAUGCUUCUAAAUACGAGUUGGAAUGUUUCUGUUACGAGUUUGUAAUGAGCUAUUUCUCAAAGAACUAAGUGAACGAUUGUUAAAUGUGAUAAUAAAUAAGUUUUGAAGAACAUCUUUCACUGUUUUUGGUCCUUUCGCAUCGUUUUGCAGCUCUGCUCCGCUUGAAAUUGUGCUAGUUCCAAGGAAUAAAAGAGUCUUGAAUGACUACGUUACUUAAUAAUUCUUUAAACGAGCUAAAAGGGAACAUUAUGCAUCCAGCGAGGCAGAGACAUAUCGUGAUAUUAAGCUUCCUAUCAAAGGCAAACCUAUAAAGCAUAGGGCUUUAUUAUAUACCUAAGGGGUGGAGAUGCUGUCUGUCAAUAUACUGCUUGCCCUGCCAACUCUUAAAAAAAAUCAUUUUUUAUUUUAUUUUAUAGCCUGGAUUCCAACAAUUUAAGCCAAAUGUCAUAGAACAAAACUAGAGAAAGGGGCAAGUUAUGAUGGCGCCAUCUAUGCAAACCUUUGUCAGUUGCCAACCCCAAGAGACUUAUCCUCAAAUUCUCAUAGUACUCCAUAUAGUAAUAAAUAUUUCAAUCUCGGCUAAGAGUGAAUUGUCAUUCGAAAAUGAUAUUUACCGUACCUAUAGAUGUGUAUUUAAGGUGGAUGUCUAGGGCUGUCCUGCCGACAAGCCACCAAAAGAUGGCGUGAUUGUGCACAAAUUGCGGAUUAUCACUAUUUCUUUCAAAACUCAAACUAUUUUCUAAGAUGUGUUAAUAUUGGCGCAAACAAUAAAAAAUAUUACGUCUAAAUCGAAAUAUAUU